AGUGAACGCUGGCGGUAGGCCUAACACAUGCAAGUCGAACGGCAGCACAGUAAGAGCUUGCUCUUACGGGUGGCGAGUGGCGGACGGGUGAGGAAUACAUCGGAAUCUACUUUUUCGUGGGGGAUAACGUAGGGAAACUUACGCUAAUACCGCAUACGACCUACGGGUGAAAGCAGGGGAUCUUCGGACCUUGCGCGAUUGAAUGAGCCGAUGUCGGAUUAGCUAGUUGGCGGGGUAAAGGCCCACCAAGGCGACGAUCCGUAGCUGGUCUGAGAGGAUGAUCGGCCACACUGGAACUGAGACACGGUCCAGACUCCUACGGGAGGCCGCAGUGGGGAAUAUUGGACAAUGGGCGCAAGCCUGAUCCAGCCAUACCGCGUGGGUGAAGAAGGCCUUCGGGUUGUAAAGCCCUUUUGUUGGGAAAGAAAAGCAGCAGGUUAAUCCCCCGCUGUUCUGACGGUACCCAAAGAAUAAGCACCGGCUAACUUCGUG
rnacentral:rRNA from 1 species